rnacentral:rRNA from 1 species
UACGUAGGGGGCGAGCGUUGUCCGGAAUUACUGGGCGUAAAGGGCGCGUAGGCGGUCCUUUAAGUCCGCGGUGAAAGCCCGGGGCUCAACCCCGGAGGGUCCGCGGAGACUGGAGGACUGGAGGGUCGGAGAGGAGUGCGGAAUUCCUGGUGUAGCGGUGGAAUGCGUAGAGAUCAGGAGGAACACCGAUGGCGAAGGCAGCACUCUGGCCGAAGUCCUGACGCUGAGGCGCGAAAGCUGGGGGAGCGAACGGG